rnacentral:rRNA from 1 species
AUUGAACGCUGGCGGCAGGCCUAACACAUGCAAGUCGAGCGGAUGAGUGGAGCUUGCUCCAUGAUUCAGCGGCGGACGGGUGAGUAAUGCCUAGGAAUCUGCCUGGUAGUGGGGGACAACGUUUCGAAAGGAACGCUAAUACCGCAUACGUCCUACGGGAGAAAGUGGGGGAUCUUCGGACCUCACGCUAUCAGAUGAGCCUAGGUCGGAUUAGCUAGUUGGUGAGGUAAAGGCUCACCAAGGCGACGAUCCGUAACUGGUCUGAGAGGAUGAGCAGUCACAAUGGAACUGAGACACGGUCCAGACUCCGACGGUAGGCAGCAGUUGGGAAUAUUUGACAAUGGGCGAAAGCCUGAUCCAGCCAUGCCGCGUGUGUGAAGAAGGUCUUCGGAUUGUAAAGCACUUUAAGUUGGGAGGAAGGGCAGUAAGUUAAUACCUUGCUGUUUUGACGUUACCAACAGAAUAAGCACCGGCUAACUUCGUGCCAGCCGCCGCCGUAAAAC